AUUACACAAUUUCUGUGGUUCUUUCAGAAACGGCUUUAAUUAAAACAUGACACUGGAUUGGCACCGCCUUCAAACUAAUCAGAAGGUAGCACAUAGGUAAGAUGUUAUUUUUUGCUUUUUAGUUUAGGUUAAUUUUUGAGUUGGAAGUCGGUUGAAUUUUUUUUAUUAAAAUUUUUAUUUUUUAAUUUUUAGUGUUAGCACACCUACUGAGUGACUGUCCUCCGUCUUCAUCACCAGACCCCCUAUGCAGUCACAAUCCAUAUGGGUGGAAAGUUCUCAUCAAUAUAAAAUUUAUCAAGUCCAAACACAAGGUAGCUACUGUGAACCGUCGAGGAGUUCCCUUAACUAUCCUUCGUCUUCAUCACCAGACCCCUAAUACAGUCACAACCCAUCUAGGUGGAAAGUUCUCAUCAAUACAAAUUUAUCAAGUCCAAACACAAGGUAGCUUCUGUGAACCAUCGAGGAGUUCUCUUCACUGUCCUUCGUCUUCAUCAUCAUACCUCUAAUACAGUCACAACCUAUCCAGGUGGAAAGUUCUCAUUAAUACAAAAUUAUCAAGUCAAAACACAAGGUACCUACUGUGAGCCGUCGAGGAGUUCCCUUAACUAUCCUUCGUCUUCAUCACCAGACCCCUAAUACAGUCACAACCCAUCUAGGUGGAAAGUUCUCAUCAAUACAAAUUUAUCAAGUCCAAACACAAGGUAGCUACUGUGAACCGUCGAGGAGUUCUCUUCACUGUCCUUCGUCUUCAUCAU